ACAUGAGUGAACAUCAGGAGAAGGUGU
rnacentral:piRNA from 1 species